rnacentral:rRNA from 1 species
AGGGGCAGCACAUGAGUAGCAAUACGAUGGUGGCGACCGGCGCACGGGUGAGUAACACGUAUGCAACCUACCUUCCACACGGGGAUAACCCGGAGAAAUCCGGACUAAUACCCGAUAAUACAGGGGUCCCGCAUGGGAAUAUUGUUAAAGAUUUAUUGGUAGAAGAUGGGCAUGCGUUCCAUUAGCUUGUUGGUGAGGUAACGGCUCACCAAGGCUACGAUGGAUAGGGGAACUGAGAGGUUUAUCCCCCACACUGGAACUGAGACACGGUCCAGACUCC